CAUCCCCGGCCCCGGCUGGAGCGGCCCCCACUCACCCAGCGACGCCGAGACACCGACUGCGCAGGGAAGGCGGCGCUGCUGCGGCGCGCGGCGGCAGAGGCGGCCGGAGGGGCGGGCAGGACUGCGAGGGAGACGCCCCGCAGCGUUGGCCCGGAGCCCCUCCCCUGGGGGGGUCCCCACCAGCAGCUAGGCUCCGCCCCCGCCCCCGCCCGGGAGAGGGAACGGGACGCCCUCACUGCCCCGGGCCCCCUCUCUCGGGAGCACCCCACCGUGGGAAGAAGAUCGGGACCCCCAGUUCUGCAGGUCGACUCGGGGAGACCAAGGAAAGAGGCUGAUCAGUGCUCAGGGACCACUCUCCUAAGCCGGGAACAAUCCGGGGCAGCGCCACCCGAUUCCUCCCAACCCCUACCUGGGCGCGGGGCCGCCUGUCGCUCCGAGGGUGGAAUCCAAUAGGCACCCUCUCUGCCCCCGCGCCUCAACUCCGGAGCCAGCUGAGCUGGGGGUUCUUUGGAGAGGAUGUGGACCUUACUGUGUUCUACAUUGCCGAUGAGGAAACUGAGAAUUAGAAGGGUUAAUUGCUUUUUCCAAUGUCCACCAGCUAGUGGUGACUUGAAUUCAAGUGCUCUCAUUCAUCCAUUUCAAAAAUAUGUUUCAAGCUUUGCUUCUGCACGCCACACUGUUCCAGACCGUCAGGUUGCAAUCAUGCAGAAGAAACAAUGAUAGAACAUACAUAGUCAGUUCUGUGGUGUGUUAGAUAAGCAAUUGGAAGAAAGCUUGGGAAAGCAGCAGAUGGAGAGCAACGGGCACUUCAGAUUGCAUUCCAGGAGUAUGCUUCCGAGGGUAGGACUGAGUCUCCACGUCCAGGGCAUCUCCUUUCUUCGCCUGUUUCUGUCUGUCAAUGAGCACCUCUGAAAGCAGAGACAGACCUCCUGGGAGCUGCUGGCUGCUCGCACCAGCCACCUCUACCUUCCCAGGAGCCAUCGCAGCACUGGACAGGCUCUUGAGCCAAAGAGGAGGCCUAGGGGUUCCCCACACUCAAAAAGACCCUGGA